AUUGAACGCUGGCGGCAGGCCUAACACAUGCAAGUCGAGCGGUAGCACAGAGAGCUUGCUCUCGGGUGACGAGCGGCGGACGGGUGAGUAAUGUCUGGGAAACUGCCUGAUGGAGGGGGAUAACUACUGGAAACGGUAGCUAAUACCGCAUAACGUCGCAAGACCAAAGUGGGGGACCUUCGGGCCUCAUGCCAUCAGAUGUGCCCAGAUGGGAUUAGCUGGUAGGUGGGGUAACGGCUCACCUAGGCGACGAUCCCUAGCUGGUCUGAGAGGAUGACCAGCCACACUGGAACUGAGACACGGUCCAGACUCCUACGGGAGGCAGCAGUGGGGAAUAUUGCACAAUGGGCGCAAGCCUGAUGCAGCCAUGCCGCGUGUGUGAAGAAGGCCUUCGGGUUGUAAAGCACUUUCAGCGGGGAGGAAGGCGGUGAGGUUAAUAACCUCANCGAUUGACGUUACCCGCAGAAGAAGCACCGGCUAACUCCGUGCCAGCAGCCGCGGUAAUACGGAGGGUGCAAGCGUUAAUCGGAAUUACUGGGCGUAAAGCGCACGCAGGCGGUCUGUCAAGUCGGAUGUGAAAUCCCCGGGCUCAACCUGGGAACUGCAUUCGAAACUGGCAGGCUAGAGUCUUGUAGAGGGGGGUAGAAUUCCAGGUGUAGCGGUGAAAUGCGUAGAGAUCUGGAGGAAUACCGGUGGCGAAGGCGGCCCCCUGGACAAAGACUGACGCUCAGGUGCGAAAGCGUGGGGAGCAAACAGGAUUAGAUACCCUGGUAGUCCACGCUGUAAACGAUGUCGAUUUGGAGGUUGUGCCCUUGAGGCGUGGCUUCCGGAGCUAACGCGUUAAAUCGACCGCCUGGGGAGUACGGCCGCAAGGUUAAAACUCAAAUGAAUUGACGGGGGCCCGCACAAGCGGUGGAGCAUGUGGUUUAAUUCGAUGCAACGCGAAGAACCUUACCUGGUCUUGACAUCCACAGAACUUNCCAGAGAUGNNUUGGUGCCUUCGGGAACUGUGAGACAGGUGCUGCAUGGCUGUCGUCAGCUCGUGUUGUGAAAUGUUGGGUUAAGUCCCGCAACGAGCGCAACCCUUAUCCUUUGUUGCCAGCGGUUAGGCCGGGAACUCAAAGGAGACUGCCAGUGAUAAACUGGAGGAAGGUGGGGAUGACGUCAAGUCAUCAUGGCCCUUACGACCAGGGCUACACACGUGCUACAAUGGCAUAUACAAAGAGAAGCGACCUCGCGAGAGCAAGCGGACCUCAUAAAGUAUGUCGUAGUCCGGAUUGGAGUCUGCAACUCGACUCCAUGAAGUCGGAAUCGCUAGUAAUCGUAGAUCAGAAUGCUACGGUGAAUACGUUCCCGGGCCUUGUACACACCGCCCGUCACACCAUGGGAGUGGGUUGCAAAAGAAGUAGGUAGCUUAACCUUCGGGAGGGCGCUUACCACUUUGUGAUUCAUGACUGGGGUGAAG
rnacentral:rRNA from 1 species